GUCUUCCCUCGUGACAUCCCUUCCUCGCCGAUUCUGCUUUCUUCUUCUCCUCUUAUCUCGCUAACUCCUGUUUAGAUAUUCUCUUUAUUCUUGCUCGCAACUGCUUUCUUGCUGCUUGUAUCUCACCGGCUUCACUCCUCGCUGACUUCGUCUAUUGCUCUCUCUCAAAAAAGAUUUUAGUAUGUGGAUCAAUGGAUGUGAAUUUGUCUCCUUCCCUUUUUGCAACAACUACGCCCUCCUCCUUCCUCACUCCGCACUCCGCAACAAGCAAGGAACCUGUAUCAAAUUCAGUGUUAAGGAAGGAGCUAUGGCUUCUAACCCGAUUAUGGAACACAUUAAAGUGCAUUGAUAGUGAACCAAUAGCUUAUCAAGUAAGAUUUCUAAGACCAAUUUGAUCUACUUGUUUAGCAGCCUGCUUGUUGGCUUUGCAUUUUAAGUUUAGUAGAUUUUUUUUUAUGGUUAUACUUACCUUUUGAUAGCUUCUUGCUUGAUUUUAAACAGUUCUAGAUAGGUUUUCUUUAUAAGUUAUCAGAUUCAGGAAUUUGAUAGAGUGAGUUACUGCAGCAGAGAGCAGUAAAGUUUAUAUGUAACAAAGGUAUGACCUUCUGUUGUGCACCGAGAGUCCAAUUUACCUAGCAAUAUUGAGUAUUGUUACAUUAAAAUUUUCAAAAUUUUGAAGGUUGUGCCAUUUUGCUCUGUUGUCUUUCACCUUGUUUAUGCAUUUUGAUUUAUUGUAUCAACAAUACUGGUAAAUGACAUCAUCCCAUGACCCAUAUCAAAAAUUGUUAUGUGGAUAUUAAAUAUAUUAAUUUCUCUACCUUGAGAAACUUGACUAAACUCAAUUACUGUUAUUUAUGUUAUCAGUUUGUUUUCAACAAUGAAGUUUUUAGUUGUGAGUUGAACGUCUCAUACUUGAAGAUCACAUAUUCUGAGGAAAAGCAUGUGCACUUAUAGUUCUAAGUAACUUUUGGAAUUGGAGUAGUCCUUUUAUGUAUUAGAUGGUUCAAAUUUUUUUUUUAAAUAUCUGUCUAGAUUUAAGUUGGUUUAUUAGUUCUAGCUAUAUUUUGAACAAAGUUCUUGUAGAUUUUCUAAGGGAAGGAUAAUCCAAUCACCAUAGAUACAACGUAUAAUAAUUGUUUUCGUUACUUAAUAUGUGGCCCUCCCAAACCUAAAAUCCUGGAUCCACCCCUGCUCAUAAUAAUCAAAAACCUUUGAAGUUUUCACCACAUGUAUGAACUCGAUCAUGUUAAAAGAAUAUUAGAAACCUUACUAUGUAUACUGGAGCAUGGAGAUUAUAAUAUUGCUUAUACCAUGUGGAUUGAUGAGCAAAAUAAGCAGUAUCAUGUGAAAACACUCAUUAACAUCCAUGCAGUUUAUAUACAACCUAAGCUAAUAUUGCAUCCUGAAUAAGAUUAUUUGAUUUUGAUCUUCGUUUUGAACAAAGUGUAAUAAGAUUAUUUGGUUCGUAGUGUACUAUUGUUUUUGGCAAUUUUCUGCAAAGAGUUAAACUUGAUUUUGUAUUCGAUCUUAAAGAUAAAUUGAUUCAAUUUUUGGCUUUAUACCUUUUACUAUUGUUUACUGCUGUUAGUAGUGAAUAUAGAUUUUUUCUAUCGUGAGUUUUUGUUGUACUGUUGUUCACAAAUGUUUCACUAUUGCCUUUAAUUAUAUUGGUUACCGUAUAGUUCAAGUGCAUGUGCUUAUCUGUGUGCAUAUGUUCUUUGCUAUUUGUGUACAACUAUGAGAACAUCUAAUAUAUGCUUGUGCAAGAUGAGAUGUUGCAUUUGCCUUUGUAUAUUGCAAAUUGUGUUUACUGCAGAAAUUGUCUCAAGAUGAGAUGUUACUGCAGAAGCUGUAGAAAUCGUACUGCAGAAAUUGUGCAAGAUAUUAGAUGCACAAUAUCUUGCAGAAAUGUGCAUCUCAUCUUUGCAGAAAUCGUACUGCAGAAAUUGGGCAAGAUAUUAGAUGCACAAUAUCUUGCAGAAAUGUACAUCUCAUCUUUGCAGAAAUUGUUACUGCAGAAAUUGUGCAAGUUAUUAGAUGCACAAUAUCUUGUAGAAAUGUACAUAUCAUCUUUGCAGAAAUUGUUACUGCAGAAAUUGUGCAAGAUAUUAGAUGCAGCUUGUGCAAGAUGAGAUGUUACUGCAGAAAUUGUGUUUACUGUAGAAAUUAUGUUACUACUUUUGUCUUUGCUGAAUUCUGCUAUUGUUACUGCAGAAAUUGUGUUUACAUUCUGUUACUGCUAUUGCUAAUGUUGUUUGUAUUAUUGCUAGUGUUUACUGCUAUUGCUAAUCUUGCAAAAAUGUUGUUUGCAUAGUGUAAUCUGUACUACAUAAUGCUGUUCACUGCAGAAAUUUAUUGUUCACUCCUAUUGUCUUAGCUGAAUUUUGCAGAAAUUUUAUUUACUAAAUUUUAAUUGUUAAGCCUAAUCCCUAGCCCAAUUUGGCCAAAUUGCAAGCUCUUCCUGACUCGAUCUCCUUCAGUCAACUACUUUUCUAAUCAAGGAGCAAUUUAGUUUAAAGGACUAGUAGACUUUUGUAUUUGAAUUUUUUUUUGGUGCCCAUUUAGCCCGUUCAAUUGGGUUUUAGUGGUUUAAAUGAGCAUGAACUUGUUUGUACGAAAUGGUAGAUUGUGCAUCACAAGUAUAGGAUGGAUUUGCAAUUACAUACAUAGGUGUAGCUGUUUCAUGCCUGUUUGACUUAAUCUGAUAGAUAUUGUGAUUUUAUUGGGCAUUGCAUUGUUGGAGCAUGACUCAUGCACUUCCAAACAUUUUAUUUGUGAAAGAUUGAAUUGAUUAUUCUAGAGAUUCAACUUGUCUGUGUGAAGUAUGUGCUAGAUUCAUCAACAACUAUUUCUAGCUAUCACUUAUCUCUAUACUUGUUGAAUCCUGAUAUCUGCUUCCUUCACAACUAAAUAUGUAUACAAGCAUCCUCCUGGUGUUAUCUGACUAUUGUAUGCCAUUCCAUUUACUUGCAACAGACCUGUACCUCUAAGUACUUUUCCUGUUGUCAUUUUUCUCAACUAUUGUGGCAGGUAGGUUCCUUUCUCUCAAAAUGCAAAUUGUGAUGGCCGAUAUGGUUGUCCUUGUAUCCUUUUGAACUCCUUUGAGUUUGUAUGUUUCGACUAAUAUGACUCUUGUUGCCACUAUAUACUUUGCCCAGAAACAAAGCCAAGUUUGACACUCUUUUUGUUGCGUUUGUUGUUGUUUAUUGAAUUUUACUGCUGUUGUUUACUGUGAUGUUUACUAAAUUUUAUUUUAUUUACAGAAAUUUGUCACGUUUGUUAUUUUCUACAAAAAAUUUAUUUGCAUAGUGUAAUCUGUACUGCAUAGUGUUUAUUGUUGUUCACUUCAGAAAUUUGUUGUUCAUUUCAGAAAUUUUGUAUACUAAAUUUUAUUUGUUGUUUACUAUAAUUAUCUUUUGUUGAACUUUUUCUUGUAUUUUCUUUUGCUGAAUUUUUUAUUUAUGUGAUGCAGGAUGUCAAAUAGAGGGACAAAAGAUAUUGGUUCCAGCAAAGGAAGAUCAAGGGGGAGAGGUCGACAAAGAGAAGAAAAACUUAUGGAGGAAGAUAGACAAAGAGAAGAAAAUCUCAAAGAGAUGGUUCGUAAGAUGAUUCAAGAGGCGGGAUAUACAAAUCAUUUGUAUCCAGGAGGAUCUAGUCCUCGUGAGCGUCGCGAUAAACGAAAUAAAAAUUAGAUUUAGUUAGAUAAUAUGAAUAUUUGGAUGAUGUGAUAUUUUUGGAUUAAACACUAAUUAUUUCAAAUAUUUUUAAUUUA